CUUUGGAGGUUGAGAAUACCUCUAAAAGUAAAAGCGUUUAUAUGGUUAGUGAUCAAAGGGAGGAUCCUAACCAAGGAUAACUUAUCUAGACGAGGGUGGAAAGGACCAAAUUUCUGCGAGUUUUGUGGCGUUUCUGAGAGCAUUGAUCAUCUAUUCUUUUCGUGCUCUUGUGCUAGGUUUUAUGGAAUGUGA
rnacentral:rRNA from 1 species